AGAGAAAAACAGAAAUCUGAAGCUAAAGACAGAAAAGUUCUAGAAAUUCUGCAAGUCAAGGAUACUAAAAUACAAGAAUUGGAACAGAGAGAAUCAGUUUUAAAACAGGAAAUAAAUGACCUUGUAAAACGGAAGAUUGCAGGCGAUGAAGAAAAUGCGUUCUUAAGGAAAGAAUUCAAUGACUUGCAGGAGAAAUUUAAAGAUAAAAGUCAAGAAGUUAAGGAGUGUGUGCAGAAUAAAGAAGAACAAAACAGACUGGUUAUAAAAAAUCUGGAAGAGGAAAAUGAAAAAUUAAGUACCCACUGUGCUGACCUGCUAAAUGACCUGGAGAAACUGAGGAAGCAGGAAGCACAUUGGAGAAAAGAAAAAUAUAGCAUUGAUGCAAAAGUAAAGGUAUACAAUGAGAAUAGAAUCCACACUGCUAUUUUGGAUCUAACUUCUUAUACGAAGUUUAAAACAUGUUAUUUUCUUUAAAUAACAAGUUACAUAUUCAAAUCCACGAAUGGGGACUAGCAUUAAUUUAUAUUCUUUCAGUUAAGACCCACAGCUUUUUAAAAAUUGAUGUUGCAAAGCAGGAAACUGACUUCAAAUAGUUAUCCUAAAAUGUAAUCAUUAAAAAAUAAAGGCUAUUGCAUUUUGAAAUAAAAUGUGUUU